UCAAUUGUGAAAUAAUCGGUUAAUCGAAUAAUUGCUAUUCGACUAUCAACCGACAAAAAAGUUGUUAAUCGACUAGUCGACUAACCGAAUAGCCGGAUAGUCGAUUUUUAACAAGAGCUCUCCUAUGGUUCCCAAUUUAUGGCUGAUUAAAAAUUCCACGCCUAUGCUCCACGUUCCCUUUUACAAACUCAUGUAUACAAACCUUACUAUAAGCACCUACCAUGGAUAUGUAUUCAUACUGAAGUUCAUAUUCUUGUGAAUUAUAGUUCCGAAGUUGUAGCUGAUAAAAAAUGUCUCGCCUGUGGGUUGUGCCCCUUUCAAAAAACUCAUUUAUACAUUCAAUUUCACCUGACAUAUGGUUCCGAAGUUAUAGCUGAUACAAUUUUCCACGCCUAUGGUAUGUGCCACGCAACCUUUUGCAAACUCAUAUAUAUAUGCCUUACUAUAAGCGCCGACCAUAGAUAUGCCUGCUUACCAAACUUCAAGUUCAUAGAACUUAUGGUUCGGAAGUUAUAGCUGGUAAAAUAUUCCUCGCCUAUGCAAUGUGCCACGCCCCCUUUUAUAAAAUCAUUUAUAUAUAGCCUACUAUAAACAACUAUCAUAGAUAUAUAUUUAUUUAUUUAUUUAAGUGGGAGCAGUAGUUGUACAUGUAAGUCAAUAAUCUUUUAACAGUACAUGAACUUAAUUAACUAACAUUAUAUUCAGUACUGGCCAAUACAAUAGCACCCCCAUCUCAAAGUGAUAUUGUUUGCCACUCAUGUUUAUUUAUUUAUUUUUAAUAAUUUUCAAUUAAAAUACAGUUCAUUCUCUCUCAAAACUCAUAUAAACCCAUGUGUUAAACUUCUUAAAAGACCGCAAAAAAGUGCAACAAAUUUACACCCAAAUUUCAAACUUUUUUCUCAGAAGCGGUA